rnacentral:rRNA from 1 species
GAGUUUGAUCGUGGCUCAGAAUCAACGCUGGCGGCGUGCCUAACACAUGCAAGUCGAACGAGAAAGUGGAGCAAUCCAUGAGUAAAGUGGCGACCGGGUGAGUAACACGUGACCAAUCUACCCUUGAGUGGGGGAUAACCUCGGGAAACCGGGGCUAAUACCGCAUAACAUCUUCGGGACGGAAGUGCUGAAGAUCAAAGGAGCAAUUCGCUUAAGGAGGAGGUCGCGGCUGAUUAGCUAGUUGGCGGGGUAAUGGCCCACCAAGGCAAAGAUCGGUAGCCGGCCUGAGAGGGCGCACGGCCACACUGGAACUGAAACACGGUCCAGACUCCUACGGGAGGCAGCAGUGGGGAAUUUUGCGCAAUGGGGGAAACCCUGACGCAGCAACGCCGCGUGGAGGAUGAAGUCCCUUGGGACGUAAACUCCUUUCGACCCGGACGAUAAUGACGGUACGGGUGGAAGAAGCCCCGGCUAACUUCGUGCCAGCAGCCGCCGU